UCAGUAGAGCUCAGUCGGUACAGCACCAGACUCUUAAUCUGGUGUCGCGGGUUCGAGCCCCGCAUUGAG
rfam:Caenorhabditis briggsae complete genome, chrII